GACGAAGGUGGCGAGCGUUGUUCGGAAUCACUGGGCAUAAAGCGCACGUAGGCGGCGGCGUAAGUCGGAUGUGAAAUCCCUCGGCCUAACCGAGGAACUGCGUCCGAUACUGCGUUGCUUGAGGACCAAAGGGGUGCAUGGAAUUCCCGGUGGAGCGGUGAAAUGCGUUGAUAUCGGGAGGAACGCCGGCGGCGAAAGCGGUGCACUGGUUGGUUUCUGACGCUGAGGUGCGAAAGCCAGGGGAGCAAACGGG
rnacentral:rRNA from 1 species